CAACCUGCCCACCACUUGGGGAUAACCUUGCGAAAGUAAGACUAAUACCCAAUGAUAUCUCUAGAAGACAUCUGAAAGAGAUUAAAGAUUUAUCGGUGAUGGAUGGGGAUGCGUCUGAUUAGCUUGUUGGCGGGGUAACGGCCCACCAAGGCAACGAUCAGUAGGGGUUCUGAGAGGAAGGUCCCCCACAUUGGAACUGAGACACGGUCCAAACUCCUACGGGAGGCAGCAGUGAGGAAUAUUGGUCGAUGGGCGAGAGCCUGAACCAGCCAAGUAGCGUGCAGGAUGACGGCCCUAUGGGUUGUAAACUGCUUUUAUAAGGGAAUAAAGUGAGUCUCGUGAGACUUUUUGCAUGUACCUUAUGAAUAAGGACCGGCUAAUUCCGUGCCAGCAGCCGCGGUAAUACGGAAGGUCCGGGCGUUAUCCGGAUUUAUUGGGUUUAAAGGGAGCGUAGGCCGGAGAUUAAGCGUGUUGUGAAAUGUAGACGCUCAACGUCUGCACUGCAGCGCGAACUGGUUUCCUUGAGUACGCACAAAGUGGGCGGAAUUCGUGGUGUAGCGGUGAAAUGCUUAGAUAUCACGAAGAACUCCGAUUG
rnacentral:rRNA from 1 species